GGGAGAAUCACUUAAACCUGAGAAGUGGAGGCUGCAGUGAGCCAAGAUUGCACCACACUCCAGCCUGGGCAACAGAGCGAGACUCCGUCUCAAAAAAAAAAAAAAAAGGAAUUGUAUGCGUCCUAACUCCACACAGGCGUACUCAGCAGAAGCCAGACUGGGGGUGAGGAGUGAAAAUGCAGGAACUCCGUCUGCCUGAGGCCACAGAGCAGAGGGAUGGCAAUGGGAACCCUCAUUUGAGUGAACCGUAGAGGCAGCCAGCCAGAGAGAAACCCCACAGACAGCACAGUUUCCUGUGUCUUCUCUCUACGUUGUGUUUCUCUGUACUUCCAAACCCGGAGUCUGUGAACUCUGCAUUACGUGAUGCACCAAGAGGCGGAUUAGUAAGAACCGUCUGCAGAGACCCACUGAGAACUCGGGAGAUGUCCAGAAGGAACAGGGGCUAUCCUGUCAAUUUCCAGUCCAGGUCUGGCCUCACACUCUGUCAUGGUGCCACACAGUGUGGGACGCACGCUGCCAGCCUCUGCUGCCUGGAACUUUCUAGAUUCCUCCAUGAGUGGGCUCACAGAUCCUUUCUCCACGAGUUGUAUUUCUAACUUGCAGUGUGCUGGCCUCUGCAGCACACUGUGGCGAUGGGCUGACUCUGCCUGCACAGCACAGGCCGGGAGCUACAGGUGGCCUGGGAGGGCUGAGCUAGGUAGGUCACCCAACCGCUUCAUCCCGACUGUGGACUUGGCGGCCGUGGGACGGGAUGAUGUUGUCCAGCCGUGAUCACUUUCCUAAAGAUUUUAAUUCCUCAAAGAGAAAUACUGUCAUGCUUGAACAGA